UCGAUGACUGCUGAUCCUUUUCUAAAGGUGUCGGAUUUUUGACAAGUCGAUCUCAUUUCUCCCUGGAAAUGUCGAUGUUGCCUAAAAAUGUCGAUCUCACCUUUUUCUGAGGAAGUCGAUGACUGCUGAUCCUUUUCUAAAGGUGUCGAAUUUUUUGACAAGUCGAUCUCAUUUCUCCCUGGAAAUGUCGAUGUUGCCUAAAAAUGUCGAUCCCACCUUUUUCUGAGGAUGUCGAUUAGAGUGGUGUGAAAUGUCGAUCCUGACCUUCUCUUUUGAAGGUUUCGAAUUCCUUGCCAAA
rnacentral:lncRNA from 1 species